UGAGGGUAGAUUCUCUAAAUUUGUCAGAAAUUUGAUGAAUUUCGCCUGAAAAAUCAACCGGGUCAAGUAGGGUUGUCGGGUCAAGGGGGAACCGAUUCGGUUCCCCUCCUUCUUCUCUUUCAUGCAUUCCUUCCUUUCUCUCUUCUCUGAUUGGUCACCAUCUCAUCUCUUUUUUUCUUCUGAUUCCCUCAUAUUUCCCUCAUUUCUCUCCUUUAACUAU
rnacentral:lncRNA from 1 species